CGAUUGUGGCAUCAUGAAGAUGUAGAUCAUGUAUUGAAAAAAAAUCUGGGAACUAGCAAAGUGAGAGGUAUGCUCUUUGAAAUGGCUGAAAUGAGAGAGAUCCACUUAAAUCCUCAUGCUUUCUCAGAGAUGGCUAAUCUAAGACUCCUUAUAGUAAAUAACUUAUAUUGGAGAUGCAAUAAUAAAGUUCAUGGUUUUGACAACAUUGAAUUUGAUUUCUCAGAGUUAGAAUGCCUCUGUUGGGAUUAUUACCCCUUCCCAUCGUUGCCUUUGAAAUUUGAUCUUGAUAACCUUGUUGUACUUAAGAUGCAAAACAAUAAUCUUUAACAACUAUGGACGGGCAUCAAGAAUCUUGCUCAUUUAAAAUACAUUGACCUAAGUCACUCAACACAUCUACUUGAAGUCCCAGACCUUUCAAAGGCCUCAAAUCUAGAGUGGUUGAUUCUAAGAAAUUGCAAAAGCCUUGUCAAUCUUCCAAUUGGCAUUCAGUCAAGGUCUUUAAGAGAUGUUUUUCUCUCUGGCUGCUCUAAUCUCAACACUGCUCCAAGGAUAUCAGGUAAUAUGGAAAGAUUGUGCUUGGAUGGAACUGCAAUAAAAACCUUAUCGUCUUCCAUAGAAAGCCCUUCCAGACUAGUUGAAUUGAAUCUUAAGAAAUGCUUAAGCCUUGAAAGUCUUCCAAGCAGCCUUUGUAAUUUGACAUCUCUUUG